rnacentral:lncRNA from 1 species
UUCAGGUCUCCUCCUGCUCAGCCCACAAAACCCUCCCCAAUUACCUUCUCUGCAAGCCAGCACUCCUCAGAGCUGGGAAAUGAGAUCUAAGCGGUGGCUUUUCCAGGGCUUAUGUAUGGAUUCUUCCCUGAGAGGAUGACAGCGAGGAAUUGAAGUGGCUCUUGAGAAUGUGGCAAGAUAGUGUCAGGGUGAAUGAGGAAGCAGCAGCCUGGAACCAGAGUGCAGAGGUACCAUGGCUCGACGAUUAGUUACUGCCAACCCUCCCCUGGGAGCAGAGAAGGGUUACAUCAUUAGGCCUGAGGAUC